rnacentral:rRNA from 1 species
AUUGAACGCUGGCGGCAUGCUUUACACAUGCAAGUCGAACGGUAACAGGACUUCGGGUGCUGACGAGUGGCGACCGGGUGCGUAAUGCAUCGGAACGUACCACCAGGUGGGGGAUAACGCAGCAAUAGCUGUGCUAAUACCGCAUGUGAUCUGAGGUUGAAAGCGGGGGACCGCGCAGCAAUGUUUCGCUUCGGCCCUUACGUGUGGCCGAUGUCGAAUUAGCUAGUUGGUGAGGUAAAGGCCUACCAAGGCAACGAUACGUAGCUGAUCUGAGAGGACGACCAGCCACACUGGAACUGAGACACGGUCCAGACUCCUACGGGAGGCAGCAGUAGGGAAUUUUGGACAAUGGGCGCAAGCCUGAUGGAGCAAUGCCGCGUGCGGGAAGAAGGCCUUCGGAUUGUAAACCGCUUUUAGCAGGAACGAAACAGUGUCCACGAAUACCGGGCGCUAAUGACGGUACCUGCAGAGUAAGCAACGGCUAACUACGUG